AUUGAACACUGGCGGCAGGCUUAACACAUGCAAGUCGAGCGGGGGAAGGUAGCUUGCUACCGGACCUAGCGGCGGACGGGUGAGUAAUGCUUAGGAAUCUGCCUAUUAGUGGGGGACAACAUCUCGAAAGGGAUGCUAAUACCGCAUACGUCCUACGGGAGAAAGCAGGGGAUCUACGGACCUUGCGCUAAUAGAUGAGCCUAAGUCGGAUUAGCUAGUGGGUGGGGUAAAGGCCUACCAAGGCGACGAUCUGUAGCGGGUCUGAGAGGAUGAUCCGCCACACUGGGACUGAGACACGGCCCAGACUCCUACGGGGGGCAGCAGUGGGGAAUAUUGGACAAUGGGGGGAACCCUGAUCCAGCCAUGCCGCGUGUGUGAAGAAGGCCUUAUGGUUGUAAAGCACUUUAAGCGAGGAGGAGGCUACUCUAGUUAAUACCUAGGGAUAGUGGACGUUACUCGCAGAAUAAGCACCGGCUAACUCUGUGCCAGCCGCCGCCGUAA
rnacentral:rRNA from 1 species